UACAGAGGUCCCAAGCGUUGUUCGGAUUCAUUGGGCGUAAAGGGUGCGUAGGUGGCGCCGUAAGUCAGGUGUGAAAUCUCGGGGCUUAACUCCGAAACUGCAUUUGAUACUGCGGUGCUUGAGGACUGGAGAGGAGACUGGAAUUUACGGUGUAGCAGUGAAAUGCGUAGAGAUCGUAAGGAAGACCAGUGGCGAAGGCGGGUCUCUGGACAGUUCCUGACGCUGAGGCACGAAGGUCAGGGGAGCAAACAGG
rnacentral:rRNA from 1 species